GGUUCCAUGGUGUAGUGGUUAUCACAGCUGCUUUACAUGCAGCAGGGCCUGGGUUCAAUUCCCAGUGGAACCA
rfam:Camelus ferus unplaced genomic scaffold scaffold951, whole genome shotgun sequence.